AUUGAACGCUGGCGGCAGGCUUAACACAUGCAAGUCGAGCGGGGUGAUGGUGCUUGCACUAUCACUUAGCGGCGGACGGGUGAGUAAUGCUUAGGAAUCUGCCUAUUAGUGGGGGACAACAUCUCGAAAGGGAUGCUAAUACCGCAUACGUCCUACGGGAGAAAGCAGGGGAUCACUUGUGACCUUGCGCUAAUAGAUGAGCCUAAGUCGGAUUAGCUAGUUGGUGGGGUAAAGGCCUACCAAGGCGACGAUCUGUAGCGGGUCUGAGAGGAUGAUCCGCAACACUGGGACUGAGACACGGCCCAGACUCCUACGGGAGGUAGCGGUGGGGAAUAUUGGACAAUGGGGGGAACCCUGAUCCAGCCAUGCCGCGUGUGUGAAGAAGGCCUUAUGGUUGUAAAGCACUUUAAGCGAGGAGGAGGCUCUUUUGGUUAAUACCCAAGAUGAGUGGACGUUACUCGCAGAAUAAGCACCGGCUAACUCUGUGCCAGCCGCCGCCGUAA
rnacentral:rRNA from 1 species